rfam:Bombyx mori DNA, contig: Bm_scaf42_contig23676, strain: p50T/Dazao, build 2, whole genome shotgun sequence.
UUAAAUCAAAUUUGUAUGGAGUUGGAACCUUUGCCGCUAGGGGCACUGUUCCAACUGCAUACAAAUUUGAGUUA